rnacentral:rRNA from 1 species
UUGGAGGGCAAGUCUGGUGCCAGCAGCCGCGGUAAUUCCAGCUCCAAUAGCGUAUAUUAAAGUUGUUGCAGUUAAAAAGCUCGUAGUUGAAUUUCGGGAUCAAAUUGUCGGUCGUGCCUCGGUACGCACUGGUAUUAUUGGUUCCUACCUUCUGAAGAACCGCGAUGUCAUUAAUUUGGUGUCGUGGGGAAUCAGGACUGUUACUUUGAAAAAAUUUGAGUGUUUAAAGCAGGCUUACGCUUGAAUACAUUAGCAUGGAAUAAUGAAAUAGGACGUUUGAUUCUAUUUUGUUGGUUUCUAGGAUUGACGUAAUGAUUAAUAGGGAUAGUUGGGGGCAUUAGUAUUCAAUUGUCAGAGGUGAAAUUCUUGGAUUUAUUGAAGACUAACUACUGCGAAAGCAUUUGCCAAGGAUGUUUUCAUUAAUCAAGAACGAAAGUUAGGGGAUCGAAGACGAUCAGAUACCGUCGUAGUCUUAACCAUAAACUAUGCCGACUAGGGAUCGGAUGAUGUUAAUUUUUUAAUGACUCAUUCGGCGCCUUACGGGAAAC